rnacentral:rRNA from 1 species
CCUACGGUAGGCAGCAGUGGGGAAUAUUGGUCAAUGGGCGCAAGCCUGACCCAGCAACGCCGCGUGAAGGAAGAAGGCUUUCUGGUUGUAAACUUCUUUUCUCAGGGACGAAGCAAGUGACGGUACCUGAGGAAUAAGCCACGGCUAACUAAGUGCCAGCAGCCGCGGUGAUACGUAGGUGGCAAGCGUUAUCCGGAUUUACUUGGUGUAAAGGGCGUGUAGGCGGGACUGCAAGUCAGAUGGGAAAAACACGGGCUCAACCUGCAGCCUGCCUUUGAAACUGUAGUUCUUGAGUACUGGAGAGGCAGACGGAAGUCCUAGUGUAGCGGUGAAAUGCGUAGAUAUUAGGCGGAACACCAGUGGCGAAGGCGGUCUGCUGGACAGCAACUGACGCUGAGGCGCGAAAGCGUGGGGAGCAAACAGGAUUAGAUACCCUUGUAGUC